rnacentral:misc_RNA from 1 species
AAAAUAUGAAAACCCACUCGUGGUGACUUUUGUCCCCACGAGUAUAAUCUAAAUACCACAUCUUGUGAACCGUACCGUCUUUGGUGGUGGGGCGGACGCUGCGGUCCAGCAGCGCGCCAUCUGUCAGCUUGGAUCGAAAGCUCCGGGCCGCGGACAAGCCACCGCAUGUAUUCAAACCUUUGCUUGCUGUUUUUUGUCUGACGAUUCAUUCUGUAUUAAAUAUACAAAA